rnacentral:rRNA from 1 species
UACGUAGGGGGCAAGCGUUGUCCGGAAUCAUUGGGCGUAAAGCGCGUGUAGGCGGUUUCGUAAGUCUGCUGUGAAAGUCGGAGGCUCAACCUUCGAAUGCCAGUGGAUACUGCGGGACUUGAGUACGGAAGAGGAGAGUGGAAUUCCUGGUGUAGCGGUGAAAUGCGCAGAUAUCAGGAGGAACACCAACGGCGAAGGCAGCUCUCUGGGACGUUACUGACGCUGAGACGCGAAAGCGUGGGGAGCAAACA